rnacentral:rRNA from 1 species
CCCUUAGAUGUCCGGGGCCGCACGCGCGCUACACUGAUGCAUUCAACGAGCUUAUAACCUUGGCCGAGAGGCCUGGGCAAUCUUGUUAACGUGCAUCGUGAUAGGGAUAGAUUAUUGAAAUUAUUAAUCUUGAACGAGGAAUUCCUAGUAAACGCAGAUCAUCAAUCUGCAUUGAUUACGUCCCUGCCCUUUGUACACACCGCCCGUCGCACCUACCGAUUGGAUGGUCCGGUGAAGCCUCGGGAUUGUGGUUCUUGCCGCUUUAUUGUGGCGUGACCGCGAGAACUUGUCUAAACCUUAUCAUCUAGAGGAAGGUGAAGUCGUAACA